GUUCUUCUGGGUAGAUAAGUUUGGAUUUAACAUUUCAUCAGCGGAUCCCGAAUGAAACACAAUCGGGUUAGGGUAUUCUUCGGAUCUUGUUUGUGUUUUGAGAGUUAGGGAUUAUAAAUUCAUCGUUAACCACCAGGUAUCCCACGAGCCGCUUCCCAGCUUUGGAAUAGAUUGAGGGAAGUCUGCAUAGAAUCUUACCAGAGAGAUGGAUGCUGUAAAACCUGGAGAGAAACAGCUAGAGAAAGAAGAUGACGACGACGACGAAGAUGAAGGAACCGUCGUGGAUCAUGAAGUCCUUCCGUCGAAUAAGUAAUUUACCAAGAAAAAAAGAUUGGGAAAAUGCACGGGUUUGAAAGCGUUGUAUCUUGGAACAUUUGGUGCCUCCAUCUAUCUGUCUGGUCAGUGGUCUACCAAGAGAUACGUCCAGGCAGUUAUAGCCCAAUAGUGCCGAAAAUACACUGGAUACUUUCUCAUGCAUGUAAGUUCCAAAACUUCAAUUUUAUUGAGGAGUAAGAUACGUGCUUGGGAUUUCGAUACUGACAGCACAAUUGAUAUUUCUUCAAUAUCGGUCUCCUCUUGUUGAAGUAUAUUAACCUCAUUAAAUAUUGUAAAUUUGGUAAGAUCUUUUGAUUUAUCUUCUUUGAUAUCACCAGUGUCUGCUAGAUCAUAGAUGUGGUUGUUGUGCUGGUAGUAUCAAAGAAGAUAAAUCAGAGGAUCUAACCAAAUUUACAAUAUUUAAAGAGGUUGAUAUACUCCAGCAAAUGGAGACCGACAUUGAAGCAAUACUAUUGUGCUGUCAGUAUUGAAAUCUCAGGAAAGUAUCUUGCUCCUCAACAUGGCUGGAGCACUAAUAAAGUGUACGAUAAAUGGUUUUCUAAUGAAUGCAAGGUUCGUGAGAGGACCAGUUAGUUAAUUGAGAAUCUACCAAAAGUUUCGUUAGUCUUAUUAAUUACAGAAUCUGCUUUGGAUCUUAUAGUCAUGAUAAGAUUCAAUCGGCUUCUUGUGGCCAUGGCCAUUAGUGGUUGUUUGGGGCUAAGGUGUCCAGAGCCAUCUUGCAGCACAAUUGUCUGCCAGGACAUGGGUUUUUGGGUUGCCCACUUAGGUGGAAAAGGAAAAAUAUCUUGGUUACGUUGUUCAAUUUUAUGUACAAAAAAGGAAUGAUAUUUUAAAGUGAUGUCCCAUUCCAGACUGCAAACGUGCAAUCGUUCUAGCAGUGGUACGGAGUAAUGGGAUUCAUGAUGUAUUAUGUGCAUGUUACCACAAAUUAUGACACUGUGAAUCAAUGGAUGUUGAAGAACGAGUGAGAUGGAGGUAACAUGAAGAGUUUUUACUGAAUAUUAUGCAAGCUGAUUUUUUAAGAGUAUAUGAAAAUGUCUCCACACUGUGUCGA